CCUACGGGAGGCAGCAGUGAGGAAUAUUGGUCAAUGGACGAGAGUCUGAACCAGCCAAGUAGCGUGAAGGAUGACUGCCCUAUGGGUUGUAAACUUCUUUUAUAUGGGAAUAAAAUGUUCCACGUGUGGGAUUUUGUAUGUACCAUAUGAAUAAGGAUCGGCUAACUCCGUGCCAGCAGCCGCGGUAAUACGGAGGAUCCGAGCGUUAUCCGGAUUUAUUGGGUUUAAAGGGAGCGUAGGUGGAUGGUUAAGUCAGUUGUGAAAGUUUGCGGCUCAACCGUAAAAUUGCAGUUGAAACUGGCAGUCUUGAGUACAGUAGAGGUGGGCGGAAUUCGUGGUGUAGCGGUGAAAUGCUUAGAUAUCACGCAGAACUCCGAUUGCGAAGGCAGCUUACUAAGCCAUAACUGACACUGAAGCACGAAAGCGUGGGUAUCAAACAGGAUUAGAUACCCCAGUAGUC
rnacentral:rRNA from 1 species